UACGGAGGGUGCAAGCGUUAAUCGGAAUUACUGGGCGUAAAGCGCACGUAGGUGGUUUUCUAAGUCAGCUGUGAAAUCCCCGGGCUCAACCUGGGACUUGCAGUUGAAACUGGAAAGCUAGAGUAGGGUAGAGGGGUGUGGGAAUUCCAGGGUGUAGCGGUGAAAUGCGUAGAUAAUCUGGAGGAACAUCAGUGGCGAAGG
rnacentral:rRNA from 1 species